GGCAGGACUGAUGGGCUCUUUUGUUCUGACGGAGGCAGCUCCAGUGCUGGGCUAGAGGGCCUGACGAAACCACAGCAACACCUGGAACUUGUGGGACAGUGGACAUCUGCCAUGUGUCCUGUGGCUUGGAGCCCUGCCCAUCUGGGAAGAUCCCUGCCCUUUGGGACACCAUCUUCCUGUCUUCUCAGCAAUUGCUUCUGCAGAGCACAGAGCUAGUGACUGGGAGGAGUCAAGGAGCUGUGACACCCGGCCAUCUGGGACAUACAGAGGGACACAUGCAAGUCAGGGGGCCGUUCCUGGGACCCCAAUUAUGCAGACUCUUUGUCCCUUGCGGUGGAAUCCCUGGAUGGGAGGGGCUCCCUAUGUGCACCCUUGGCCCCCUGGGAAAGGAGCAAGAGAAGGGGAGGUGCCUGCUGACAGGGUUCUGGUUACUAUGUGCACUGCCAUCUGUCGCCUGGGUGGCUGAGCCUCCUGUAUAAUUCAGAUACCUUAGACAAGCCCCAGCGAAGCAAUGACAGCUGGAAUGGCCUGAUCGGAUGACGUGACACUUGACACUGGCUGUACAAGACACGUGUCCUUUUGCCCCCUCUUCACUGGGUGACAGGUCGGGUGAAGAGCUGAAUGGGAGGUCCCUUACACGGACUUGGGGGGGGAUUAUGGGGGCUCAUUUGUCAACAGCAGCCGGAGAAGCCUGGUGGUCUUGGGCCCAGCUUUCACUUGUUUGUAGUGUGGCCACAAGAUUGAGCUCACUGCACCCUCAGACCCCAGCCUCAGUUUCUUUAUCUGUAAAAGGUCUUGGGGCAGCACCUGGGGCUGUCAAGUCUGACCAGUGAGUGCAGAGGUCAGUUCCAAGCAGGAGUUCAUCUAGGGGUGGUCCUCAGUCCUGUUCUGGCCCUGGUUGUACCCUCUGCUCCUGGACACCAAAGAGGCAGGUCCAGCCUUAUAUCUAACUCUAAAGAUGGGGUUAGUCCUUGGUCUGUGAUGCCUGAAACUCACACCACCAUGUGGACUAUGUGGCUUAGUGGGGACAUCUACUGUAAUCACCAUUCAUGGCUGUGUCCUGUGGUUCCCCAGGAAGCUGGAGCAGGAUAGAGGCUUUCACCCUGUCUGUUCUGCAAGCUGCCGGGUGGCCUCUCUGCUCAGUCCCCGCCCCAAUCCCUGAAAGAAGCAGGUUAAAAGCUGUUCUGCCAUGCGCUAGGCCUGGCCAUAUCCAGCAAGGAGCCAACCUGAAUGACCGACCCACAGUCCCUAACCAACUUCUCAGGGAAUAGCUGUUCACUUGAGCAGAAACAGAGUGGGGAGGCAGGACAGCCUUCCUCCAUAGUCCUCAAGGGUCAGUGGGGCUUCCUAUUGAGGCAUGAGAGGAGCUUUCAGCUGAGGAACCCCCCAAGCUGACUCUUCCUCCCAGCCUGUCAUCAACGUGAGCAGCUGUGGAGAGCCACUGACCCUCAGACAAUGGAAGGACCUGAGGCUGGACCCCUCCCAACUCUUCUUAGCUGUUUGAGCUGGCACUGGUGCCUUUCAACCGGGUAACCAAAGCCACUCCCAGCCACCUGCAACACUGCUGCUUUUUAAAGAGGAAUGCCUCUGCUUAAAUAAUUGAUGAGCUAGGGCUACAGUUGGACCUGGGCAACAUCUGGCAGGUGGAGAGCUUCUCACCCCGCAGGAGUUAGAUUAAACCAACUGCUCAGAGGAUGGGGCGCAGAGGGUGGGAAGUGGGGUUGCACCUCCCCUCCCACACCCUGGGAAUUUACCCAAGUAGGAACCUAUCAACUAGGGGGACCUCUUCAGGGUUCUUUUCCCCAGUGGCACACAUGAGCUCAUAGAUGCACUCGUGUGUACAUACAACACAACAGACACAGUUGAACGUACUAUAGACAGACAAAUACAAGAAGACACAUUAUAUAUGUACAUCUUCCCCGUGAAUGCCAAAACAUCACAAGCACACACACAGUGGGGAAGAAAGGGGCACACAGCACCUACCUGAAUCCAGCACCAACUUGUUAAAGUACCAUCUCUUCUCUAGCCUGGGGACCUGGUGACCACAGAGUAACACUGGUAGGUCAUAGUGGCAAAGGGCAGAGGAGGGAGACAGACCCUGGAGCCUUGGGAAAACACUGACAGAUGUCCCAGGAGGGUAUUUCAUCCAAGGAUGCCCUUGCCUGCUGGAGGUUUCUGACAUCCCUGAGACUACACAGGGAGUCCACUCACUCCUUAGAAUAUGGCACUGCCAUCCCACUUUCUGAGGAGACUGAGGUCCAAAUAAGGAAGAAUGUGCCCAGUACUGUUCACCUCUCUAGCUAUGGUCGGCUGCCACUCACUGUCAGUUCUGCACACACUUGUUGUCCCACAUCUGGCUCUACACUCUCUCAGCUCUGCACAUCUGGCCUUAUAUAUACACCCUCAGCUGCUCACAUGCAGCCUCGGGCCACGGCUUGCCCAUGUGGUAGCAAAAGGGGUUCCACCAGAGGGGCCUGGCAACAGGCUCUGUAUGGUACCCCUGCCUUCCCCCACUGUAUGCCUAGUGCCCCACCCCCACCCCAAAGACCACUGCCCACCUGUGUCAGAGUCUGUUGAGUGUGCUAGGGAGAAGCAUGCUGGGAUCCAGAAUCCUCAGCAACUAAUUCUAGAAAUCAUGACAUCAGAGAGGAAAGGAAGCAGCCUCCCCGAGCAGGCAGCGCCUGAGCUAUGGGGACAGGCCUGUGAGGCAUGAUCGUCAGCCAGGACCCUGGGAGUGCAGGGAGGACACAAACAUCACAGUUGCUCAAGGGGCAGUGUAGCUGCCGCACCACCCCUGGCUGCAGUCACCGGUUGUGGUGUGCGGUAGACUGGAUGAGACUGUCCACCAUCAGACUUGGCAUGUGAACACUUGCUUCUGAGACGUAGAGGGCUAGGCAAUGUGACUUUGCUGGAGGAAGUACAUCAGUGGGGUCAGGCUUUGCAGUUUCAAAAGCCUGAAGUUAUUUCCAGCUUGCUCUCUUCUGCUUCUUGCUAGCUGUUAAGAUGUGAACCCUGGCUGGGUAUGGUGGCGCACGCGCCUUUGGUCCUAGCACUCAGGAGGCAGAGGCAAGCGAUUUCUGUGAGUUUGAGGUCAGCCUGAUCUACAAAGUGAGUUCCAAGACAACCAGUGAAACUUGGUCUAAACAAACAAACAAACAAACAAAGACACAAUGGGCUCCCGAGUGAUGGGCUCAUGCCCUCUGAAACUGUGUGGUAGUUUGAUUGAUAAAUGCCCUCCAUUAUCCCUGAUAUUUGAAUGCUUGACGGUGGUGCUCUGUCUCUGGCCUGUCUAGGAAGGUUUGGAAGGUGUGGCUUUACUGGAGAGAUGUGCCAUUGGGUUAAUUUUAAAAGCAUAAAGACUUACAGCUGAGACUAUGCCGGGCCUAGCAAACACAGAAGUGGAUGCUCACAGUCAGCUAUUGGAUGGAUCACAGGGCCCCCAAUGGAGGAGCUAGAGAAAGUACCCAAGGAGCUAAAGGGAUCUGCAACCCUAUAGGUGGAACAACAUUAUGAACUAACCAGUACCCCGGAGCUCUUGUCUCUAGCUGCAUAUGUAUCAAAAGAUGGCCUAGUUGGCCAUCACUGGAAAGAGAGGCCCAUUGGACUUGCAAACUUUAUAUGCCCUAGUACAGGGGAACGCCAGGGCCAAAAAGGGGGAGUGGGUGGGUAGAGGAUUGGGGGGGUGGGUAUGGGGGACUUUUGGGAUAACAUUGGGAAAUGUAAAUGAGGAAAAUACCUAAUAAAAAAAAAGAAAAAAAAAGACUUACAG
rnacentral:lncRNA from 1 species